CCUUCGCUCAGCUCAGUCAGUCGGAGCCUGACCGUGGGGGCAGCUCCUCUCUGGGGCCGGAGAAUCAUUCCUGUCUCCUGUCGAAAUGACCCUUGGUAGGAAGGUCCAGGAUGGAGCUGUGAUCAUCGCUGGAUGGGAAAGCAGCUUCCUGUCUCCCUCUCAGCAAGUGGAGUGCAGUGGGGUGGGCAGCUGCUUGCUGCAGACUCACUCCUAUCCCCAAAGAAGCCUUGAGAGGAGGCCCUACCAUAUGGGGAGACUGAAGAUCUGAAAGGCCCAGCUUGCCCAAGGAACUCAGCCAGUCAAGGACAGCCUGGAGGUGGGCAAGUCAUCAGGACCCCAGACCAGGAACGAUGGAGGCUCCAAAGUCCACCAGUAGAGGGAAGAAAAUAGCCGCUGUCCCCAGGCAGAGCCACCAGUCACACAGGGACGAGAUCUCAGAAUGAGCACUGGGCAGGGUUCUCUGGGAUGCUGAGCUCUGGUCUUCCCUGUGAGCGGCCUUGGACAAGUCAUCUGCCCAGACCCUCCAUACCCCGUGCUGUGUCUUCUCAGAGAGUGAGCGUUCGGAAGCAUGGCGCUCUCUGAAGUCCGUGGCUGGGAUGUCCAUGGCUGUGACGACCUUCUGAAAACCAUGUGGUCUCUGUCCCACUUUCAGCCUCACAGUGCACGAAUGCAAGCCCGGAGUAAGCGCCCCCAACUGGGCUCAAGACCUUCUUCUUGGGGGUCCCUGUUGCAUCAGCUUCUUUUAAGUUAACUUUCUCUUGCAGUACAGUAUGAAUAAAGAAAAGUCUAACACUAUGUGUCCAACUCCAUUUGGACUUUCACAAAGUGAGUACCUUCAUGUCCUCAGCUCUCAGAUCAAGAAGAAAAUACUGCCAGCUCCCGAGUCCUCUUCUACCUCUUCCUGUCAUUAAUACCCCCAAGACAACGACGACCUUGACUACUAACGCCAGAGGUUAAUCUGGCCUCCUUUGGAAUUACACGACAGGUACGCUCUUGCAUCUGGCCUCUCUCCUCCCACGUGGAGUCUGAGCCUCACCACAUGACGUCAUAGCUCCUUCCUCUCACUGCUGUAGCCCAGCCCAUCUCAUGAACAAAGCACCAUCCAUAUAUCCAUAUGCCUCUGUGGAUGGAUGCUUGGCUCGGUUUUCAGUCUGGGCUAUUACGGUGCUGUCAUGAGCAGUCUCCUGGUGAACAUUUGCACACGUUUCCUUUGCGAAAUGCCUGGGAAGGGAAUUACUGGGCUGUUGGGUGGACAUGUGUUUGGCUGCAGUAGGUCCUGCCAGCUUUCUCAAGUGGUCGUACCAAUUCACCCUCCCUCCACCAUUGUGGGAGGCCCCAAGCUGCCCCUCGGCACCAACAUCUGGGAUGUCUUUUUCUUUUGAACCACUCUCUUGGAUUCGGUGUAAUGCUGUGAUUGUAAUUUGUAUUUCUGUGAUGACUAAUGUGGUUGAGCACCUUUUUCUACGCCAUCACCUUCUUUUUUUACUUUGGGUUUUUAAUAGACACAUAAUAAUUGUACGUAUUUAUGGGGUAUAUGUGAUAUAUUGG
rnacentral:lncRNA from 10 species